AUUGAACGCUAGCGGGAUGCCUUACACAUGCAAGUCGAACGGAGUGGCGAACGGGUGAGUAAUGUAUAGGAACGUGCCCAGUCGCGGGGGAUAACUACGCCAAAGCGUAACUAAUACCGCAACCUAGUGGUAUGGCCUUUAUCGGAUGAGCUAGUUGUUGGGGUAACGGCGCACCAACGCGACGAUCCGUAGCUGGUUUGAGAGGAUGACCAGCCACACUGUGACUGAGACACGGCCCAGACUCCUACGGGAGGCAGCAGUGGGGAAGUUUGGACAAUGGGGGAAACCCUGAUACAGCCAUCCCGCGUGUGCGAGGAAGGCCUUCGGGUUGUAAAGCACUUUUAGCAGGAAAGCGGUACCUGCAGAAUAAGCACCGGCUAACUACGUGCCAGCAGCCGCGGUAAUUC
rnacentral:rRNA from 1 species